rnacentral:lncRNA from 1 species
CCCUUUUGAAAUACAAGAACCCAAUAUGUGACCAACAACAAAACUUUAUGGUAAAUUAUACAUCUACUGAAUCAAGCUUCCAACUACAAGGAAAUAAACUUGGAUACAAUCAAUGGGACUAGAGCCUACACCAAAAUUUGGAUUGACACACAUUCAAACCACUGCCAUGACAAAAUACAAUCCAAAAUCUAACAGUUUCAUAUCAUUGGACUAAAAGAACACAAUCUUUGAUUAGUACACAAUAUUGUGUCCAAUAUAGUUUUUGAACCAUCUGUAUUCUACCAGGUUUAAACCAAGCUCUAAGACAAAAUGGAGUCAUACAGAAGCUAAGCUAAAACACAGAUGACAAAAGUAAUCGUUAGAACUGAUAAUUUCAUUCAAGUUCAAUGUUGUCACAGAUCUUUAUGCAAGGCCUCGCCCGGCUUCAAAUCCAUGAUAGUUUUAAGGGAAUACCUGGAAAUUUCAAGGGGAAAAGAAGUGAAGGAUCAACAAUAAAAUAAUAGCAGAAUGCAGCCUCAGCAAAACUAGCUCAAACCCAAAAAUAAACCACUUUCAAAUGAGAAGUGACCAAGAAAACUUCAAACCAAAGUUUUAUGACCCAAAACUCAAACCAUUUAAACCCAGAUAAACCAGAAAUGAUUCAGAAAUGGAGAACUUUUGAGACAAUCCAGAAUAAGUUCCAUGAAACAGUAGUUUUUGAAUAAAGUUUCUACCUGUUUUCUAUCUUUGCAGAAAAUUUUUCCUUUUUAGUCUCUAAUGUCUUUUCUAAAUUUCUGAAAAUCUUUUCUAAAAAUCUGAAGUCUAAAAAUCUCUCCCAAAAAUCUUUAAAUUCC